rnacentral:rRNA from 1 species
CCUACGGGAGGCAGCAGUGGGGAAUAUUGCACAAUGGGGGAAACCCUGAUGCAGCGACGCCGCGUGAGUGAAGAAGUAUUUCGGUAUGUAAAGCUCUAUCAGCAGGGAAGAAAAUGACGGUACCUGACUAAGAAGCCCCGGCUAACUACGUGACAGCAGCCGCGGUAAUACGUAGGGGGCAAGCGUUAUCCGGAUUUACUGGGUGUAAAGUGAGCGUAGACGGCCAGACAAGUCAGAAGUGAAAGCCCAGGGCUCAACCCUGGGACUGCUUUUGAAACUGCCGGGCUAGAGUGCAGGAGAGGUAAGCGGAAUUCCUAGUGUAGCGGUGAAAUGCGUAGAUAUUAGGAGGAACACCAGUGGCGAAGGCGGCUUACUGGACUGUAACUGACGUUGAGGCUCGAAAGCGUGGGGAGCAAACAGGAUUAGAUACCCUAGUAGUC